UACGUAGGGACCAAGCGUUGUUCGGAUUUACUGGGCGUAAAGGGCGCGUAGGCGGCAAUUCAAGUCAUCUGUGAAAUCUCCGGGCUUAACCCGGAGCGGUCAGGUGAUACUGUUUUGCUAGAGUGCGGAAGGGGCAAUCGGAAUUCUCGGUGUAGCGGUGAAAUGCGUAGAUAUCGAGAGGAACACCAGAGGUGAAGACGGGUUGCUGGGCCGACACUGACGCUGACAGCGCGAAAGCCAGGGGAGCAAACGGG
rnacentral:rRNA from 1 species